AUGAACGCUGGCGGCGUGCCUAAUACAUGCAAGUCGAGCGAACAGACGAGGAGCUUGCUCCUCUGACGUUAGCGGCGGACGGGUGAGUAACACGUGGAUAACCUACCUAUAAGACUGGGAUAACUUCGGGAAACCGGAGCUAAUACCGGAUAAUAUAUUGAACCGCAUGGUUCAAUAGUGAAAGACGGUUUUGCUGUCACUUAUAGAUGGAUCCGCGCCGCAUUAGCUAGUUGGUAAGGUAACGGCUUACCAAGGCGACGAUGCGUAGCCGACCUGAGAGGGGGAUCGGCCACACUGGAACUGAGACACGGUCCAGGCUCCUACGGGAGGCAGCAGUAGGGAAUCUUCCGCAAUGGGCGGAAGCCUGGCGGAGCAACGCCGCGUGAGUGAUGAAGGUCUUCGGAUCGUAAAACUCUGUUAUUAGGGAAGAACAAAUGUGGAAGGAACUAUGCACGUCUUGACGGUACCUAAUCAGAAAGCCACGGCUAACUACGUG
rnacentral:rRNA from 1 species